rnacentral:rRNA from 1 species
AAUCAACGCUGGCGGCGUGCCUCAGACAUGCAAGUCGAACGCGAAAGUCCCCGUUCGGGGGACAAGUAGAGUGGCGCACGGGUGAGUAACACGUAGGUAAUCUACCUUCGGAUGGGGAAUAACAACCGGAAACGGUUGCUAAUACCGCAUAAUGCAGCGGCACCUAAUGGUGACAGUUGUUAAAGCGGGGGAUCGUAAGACCUCGCGUCUGAAGAGGAGCCUGCGGCGGAUUAGCAGUUGGUAAGGUAAUGGCUUACCAAGGCUACGAUCCGUAACCGGCCUGAGAGGGCGGUCGGUCACACUGACACUGACAUACGGGUCAGA